AGGGCUGCUCAUGGGUUGUCCAACCCGUUAGAACCGACCCAACCCAACCCUAAACCGGGCCGACUAAACCGACCCAUUCAAAACCGUGGCCCAAUUGGGUUGAUUUCUGGUUGAGCCGUUUAUAAUGGGUUGGGUCAAAAUGUAUCUUUUAAAAACCUUAAACCAACCCAACCCGGCCCAAUAAAUUAAGCAGCCUAUUUCAUAUCUACUACACUAUUAUUACUGCAGCCCGAAAUGUAUUUAGUCUGGCUAGUUUAAGUUGUGAUCACAUGCUUGGGUUAAUCUGCAUUGGCACAUAGCCACAAAUCCUGAUCAAUUUGCAUUUGCAUUGUAGUUAAGGCACAUUAUUUCAGGAUAUUCCUUAUGUUUCAACUUGCAACCGCAGGAUAGUAGAUCCUUGUGUCUUGUUCUAUCGUUAAUAUUUUGCAUCUGUGGUGAGUGUACAACUUAAUGCUGUGCUACAUAAACACUUACGUUUUACGGCAAACCCAGCAUAUGAACUAAAGCACACCUAACAUUCGACAACUAGGAUAUUGUCUUUUACAACCCGAUCAACCGUACCCUAACCAACCCAACCCGUCAUACAAUUAGUAGGGUUGGGUUUCUAAUUCUUUUUAUGAUUGAUGGGUUAAUAUUUUGUAACCCGUUCUAAAUGGGUUGGGUCGCUUAAAUGGCCAAAACCGGCCCAACCCAGCCCAUGUGCAGCCCUAG
rnacentral:lncRNA from 1 species